AUACGUAGGUGGCAAGCGUUAUCCGGAAUUAUUGGGCGUAAAGAGGGAGCAGGCGGCAGCAAGGGUCUGUGGUGAAAGCUUGAAGCUUAACUUCAGUAAGCCAUAGAAACCAGGCAGCUAGAGUGCAGGAGAGGAUCGUGGAAUUCCAUGUGUAGCGGUGAAGUGCGUAGAUAUAUGGAGGAACACCAGUGGCGAAGGCGACGAUCUGGCCUGCAACUGACGCUCAGUCCCGAAAGCGUGGGGAGCAAAUAGGAUUAGAUACCCUAGUAGUCCACGCCGUAAACGAUGAGUACUAAGUGUUGGAUGUCAAAGUUCAGUGCUGCAGUUAACGCAAUAAGUACUCCGCCUGAGUAGUACGUUCGCAAGAAUGAAACUUAAAGGAAUUGACGGGU
rnacentral:rRNA from 1 species